AAAAAAAGCUGCUGCGUUUUUUUUUUUCUUUUCUCCUUUUCUUCAAGCUACUGCUGUAGCUUUCAUGGCAGCCCCUUGUUCCCCUUCAAACCUGCAACACACAUACAAAAAACACAACCCGAAAACAGUAACAACAAAGAUCUAAAAAUGAUCUUUGUUAGUUACAAGAGAUAGAAACCGAAACACCACAGAAAAAUAAAUGAAGAACACUAAAAGAUUGAUUUCGGAGUUCCUCUUGAAAUCAAGAGUACAUCUCCGUCAAGCUUCCCUCAAAGACGCUUGAUUCUUCACUAUCAAAGUCCAAACCGAUUACAAGGAUGAGAGAUUCCUAGCCACAAAGUUCAGUAGGUGGGUUACAAAGCAAAACAAGGGCUGCCUUGUGAUUUUUUCUCUCUGCUGGGCCGAAAUGGUUCUCUUGCUCAAAGUGGAAGGUUGAACCACUUAUUUAUAAUGUUGUUGUUGUUGUGUUUGUUUCUGAUCUGAGAAAGUUUGUUGUAAUCUGUUGAGAUAUUUUCCCUUGAAUAGCUGAAAGUUGUUAGAGUCUUGAGAUAUUUAUUUGCUUCCUUUUAUUGUUAAGAAAUAAAAGACUUAAGCCUAGGAAAACAGAACCGACAACUCUAUGAGUUAUAAUGGUCUGUUGAGGCUUUAUAAAGAGGUCUAAAUUAUUUUCCUUGUAACUUUA